CCUACGGGUGGCAGCAGUGAGGAAUAUUGGUCAAUGGACGCAAGUCUGAACCAGCCAUGCCGCGUGCAGGAAGACGGCACUAUGAGUUGUAAACUGCUUUUGUACGAGGGUAAACACAGAUACGCGUAUCUGUCUGAAAGUAUCGUACGAAUAAGGAUCGGCUAACUCCGUGCCAGCAGCCGCGGUAAUACGGAGGAUUCGAGCGUUAUCCGGAUUUAUUGGGUUUAAAGGGUGCGUAGGCGGGCGGAUAAGUUAGAGGUGAAAUCCCGGGGCUCAACUUCGGAAUUGCCUUUGAUACUGGUCGGCUAGAGAGGAGUGGCGGUAGGCGGAAUGCAGGGUGUAGCGGUGAAAUGCUUAGAGA
rnacentral:rRNA from 1 species